GACGGGGCCCGCACAAGCGGUGGAGCAUGUGGUUAAUUCGAAGCAACGCGAAGAACCUUACAGGCUUGACAUCCCCUGACCGCGUAUGAAAGUACGUUUUCACCCUCGGGUGACAGGGAGACAGGUGGUGCAUGGUUGUCGUCAGCUCGUGUCGUGAGAUGUUGGGUUAAGUCCCGCAACGAGCGCAACCCCUACGUUUAGUUGCUAACGCGUGAAGGCGAGCACUCUAGACGAACUGCCGUUGACAAAACGGAGGAAGGUGGGAUGACGUCAAAUCAUCAUGCCCCUUAUGUUCUGGGCUACACACGUGCUACAAUGGCCGGUACAGACGGACGCAAAGCCGCGAGGUGGAGCAAAUCCUAAAAAGCCGGUCUCAGUUCGGAUUGCAGGCUGCAAUUCGCCUGCAUGAAGUCGGAAUCGCUAGUAAUCGCAGGUCAGCAUACUGCGGUGAAUACGUUCCCGGGCCUU
rnacentral:rRNA from 1 species